UUCGGCCUACGUUUCCCCUGCCCAUGCGGAGGGACGCGUUAUCUUGCUUAGCAAUCAAGAAUCUACUGCAUAGUUAACUAGCUGUUGAACCGCUGCCAAGGGAGGAAGAGAGAGUACAAAGUAGACAUUAAUAAUACCAAUUGAUGGCCGCGCGCCUGAUGGCGGCCUGCGAGCGGCGAAACAAACCAAAGGAUAAUCCGAUCUCUCGGCGACCAUCAUGAUCCUUAAAAACCCUAUCUGAUUGUUGACAAAAAACCCGUGGGAUGUGGGGUAAACGCCCUCAAUUUACCACUCCACGGCUAGCCGGUAGUGAGCUCGAGGGGACAAACAUCUCUAUAGCUAACUAGUUAAUGUGGAUGAUUUCUCUAAGCUUUAUAAUUUAUUAAUUAAUAGUGCUGGUAGAGAUGGUAAAAAUGGUAAUGAGAGGAAAUAGAUCAUUAAUCUCUUUGAUCGCAUUGAUAUGCUUGCACCUUGCGAGCUCUGUAAUCUGAUGUUAGGACUUUUGGCACCAAAGGUACCAACCAACUGGACAAAUGGUUUCAAACCUAGAAUAUUUGAUUUUCUUUCAGUGAUC
rnacentral:sRNA from 2 species